rnacentral:rRNA from 1 species
UAAUGCAUCGGAACGUAUCCCGUAGUGGGGGACAACCCAGCGAAAGCUGGGCUAAUACCGCAUAUGCUCUACGGAGGAAAGUGGGGGACCUGGUAACGGGCCUCACGCUAUGGGAGCGGCCGAUGUCCGAUUAGCUAGUUGGUGGGGUAAAGGCUUACCAAGGCGACGAUCGGUAGCUGGUCUGAGAGGAUGAUCAGCCACACUGGGACUGAGACACGGCCCAG